rnacentral:rRNA from 1 species
AGAGCGAACGCUGGCGGCAGGCCUAACACAUGCAAGUCGAACGGACUCUUCGGGGUUAGUGGCGGACGGGUGAGUAACACGUGGGAACGUGCCUUUAGGUUCGGAAUAGCUCCUGGAAACGGGUGGUAAUGCCGAAUGUGCCCUUCGGGGGAAAGAUUUAUCGCCUUUAGAGCGGCCCGCGUCUGAUUAGCUAGUUGGUGAGGUAAAGGCUCGCCAAGGCUACGAUCAGUAGCUGGUCUGAGAGGAUGACCAGCCACACUGGGACUGAGACACCGGCCCAAACUCCGUACGGGAGCAGCAGGUGGGAAUCUUGCGCAAGUGGGACGAAACGCCUGACGCAGCCAGUCGCCGCGUAGAAUGAAUGGAAGGUCGUUAGGAAUUAGUUAAAAUUUCUUUACGAGGUAGGGAACGAUAAUGAACGUACCUACAGAAGACGCCCGACUAACUCGU